AUUAUGAAAUUACCAAUAGGUAUAUUUGAUAAAAUUAAGAAUGACUGGGAACGAGGACUCCAAAUUUCUCUACCUAGAGAAAAAUGGGAGAGGAUUCUUCAAUUAGUUAAUACUUGCUCAUGUGUGCAAGACAUGCUCUGAUACAAUUCAAGGUAGUUCACAGAGCUCAUAUGUCAUAAGAUAAGUUAGCUCGUGUUUAUGGUGAUAUAAA